CGGGGUGAGUAAUGUCUGGGAAACUGCCCGAUGGAGGGGGAUAACUACUGGAAACGGUAGCUAAUACCGCAUAACGUCGCAAGACCAAAGAGGGGGAUCUUAGGGCCUCUUGCCAUCGGAUGUGCCCAGAUGGGAUUAGCUAGUAGGUGGGGUAAUGGCUCACCUAGGCGACGAUCCCUAGCUGGUCUGAGAGGAUGACCAGCCACACUGGAACUGAGACACGGUCCAG
rnacentral:rRNA from 1 species